GACGAACGCUGGCGGCGUGCUUAACACAUGCAAGUCGAACGGAAAGGCCCUGCGUUUGUGGGGUGCUCGAGGGGCGAACGGGUGAGUAACACGUGAGUAACCUGCCCUUGACUUUGGGAUAACUUCAGGAAACUGGGGCUAAUACCGGAUAGGAGCUCCUGCUGCAUGGUGGGGGUUGGAACGUUUCGGCGGUUGGGGAUGGACUCGCGGCUUAUCAGCUUGUUGGUGGGGUAGUGGCUUACCAAGGCUUUGACGGGUAGCCGGCCUGGGAGGGUGACCGGCCACAUUGGGACUGAGAUACGGCCCAGACUCCUACGGGAGGCAGCAGUGGGGAAUAUUGCACAAUGGGCGGAAGCCUGAUGCAGCAACGCCGCGUUCGGGAUGACGGCCUUCGGGUUGUAAACCGCUUUCGCCUGUGACGAAGCGUGAGUGACGGUAAUGGGUAAAGAAGCACCGGCUAACUACGUG
rnacentral:rRNA from 1 species